CCCUGUCUCCCCAGUCUCCUUUCUGGGAGGGCUUUUCCUCCUCUUCCGUUUGCCCGCAGUCUGGGAAUCAAAGAAUCCUUAUCAGUGCUUCCUUCCUCUCAGAAAGCUGGAAUUCGCAGUGUCCACCCCAAAUGUCUAUUGGCCUAAGCAAAUUCUUCCAAACCCCGAAGAGCUGAGAAAAGGGCUGGAUAUGGCAGGGGGCUGCAGCAGGCUGCCAACGAUGGAGGUUGGAGGAAAAUACUCCCCUUUACCACAGCUCUAAGGGGGUGGGAUAAAUACGUGGCUAUCUCUAGUUCCUCAUGUCUUAUUUCUACCUCUCUGCCUAACAUCUAUUUAUCUCUGGUUUUCCUCCCCACAUGUCUAGGGCAUGGCUUUGACAUUCAGUCAAACUAGUGAAGACACAUGAUUACCCAUUUUCUGCUACCCAAAAUAAUCUCUCUCUCUCUGUCUCUCUCUGUGAAGCAAAUUGCUCUUUGCUGGUAAGGAAAGUAUUAAAGGUGCCAUAGCACCGGCAGCUCCUUCUUGGGAUACGCUGUGGUGCUACAAAAGAUCUCUAAAAUUUGGCAGCAUCUCCAUGAAGGCGGCCCAGAUGGCUGAUGUUAGCAAGCAGUGGGGAAUGAAAGGUCUGAUUGGAAUCUGAGGGUGCCAGCCCUUGAGAAACUGAUUUGUAGAGAGUCAAAGCCCAUUUUGGUGGUGGUGCUGCUGCUUUGUUGGGUCAACGUUCUGCUCCAGAAUUCCAUAUUUUAGGCUAGCAGCAUAACGAAGCCUUGGGCAGCAUCUGCUGCACCUUUCCCAGUACAUGGGACUGUGAUUGGUGUUACCAGUCACAGCUAGAAGAUCUGCCUUCUGAUUCCCCAGUGGGAGACAAGCCAAACCAACUUGCAGAGCAAGCCAAAUAAUUGUUGAUUAGACACUUCUUUUAGCAUGGAGUGUUCUGCCCUUUUAGCUGUCCUGGUUAUAUAGGCCAAAUCAGUUACUAGAUUAAAAGGUUGUUGUAAUUUUUUAAAUGCUCUGACAUCAGCAGCCAACUCAGGAAUUUGGGGGGUUCCUUCAAUGACUUGAACAUCCUACUCCCACUUCUGAGUGUUUGGAUCCUUCCAAGUGAUAACCGAUUUGUGUGAUUUUCCAGAGCGAUCUGUAAAAACUGUGAGGGCUUUAAGAGGAACCUUACCUUUUAGAGAAUUUGGGACUAGAUGGAAUGUUUCUUUUAGUAGCUUGUGUUUUGGAUAAUGAAUAGAGACUUGUCCGGGAUAGCUGUCUAAAUCAAACUGAAGGUAUCCAUUUGUCUGUAAUAGCGAUUCUAAUUUGUGUAGUUGAAAUGCUGGAUAAAUGUAUGUUGGGUCACACGCUGCAGGGGUUCGGAGGUGGUUCCUGUCUUUAAUGAUUAACUGAGCUAAAAGCUCUUGAGGGAUUGUAAUAGUUUUUUUGGUGUGGCAAAAAUACCCAUUCUACAAUUAACAAUUUUUCUGUAGAAGACGGGUCCCACUGAAAAAGCAGUGCCUGGAAAUGUGGGGAUUUACCAAGACUAGCAAACUGGGAGGUUAGAGAGCAGUCAGCGCGGUGUGCUUUUCGAGAUGAGAUAGCAGGUGCUACCUUUCGCAGCGCGUCGUGGGCAUCUGGAGUUAAGAUGCGCUGGGAAGUCAGGUCAUGGCUCCCCUUCAGUAGGCUGAACAAAGGGCACAGCUCUUCUCUCGUGAGUCCAAGCAGUGGUCGGAUCCAGGUGAUGGAGCCACACAACUGUUGUAUGUCCCUUAGCAUUUGAGCCUUAUCUUUGAUGGAGAUAUUUUGGGGAAUAAUGGCUCACCCGCUGAUAAGGAAUCCAAGGUACUUCCACAGGGAGGUCUACUGGGUUUUUCAGGAGCAAUAUCAAAACCUGCAUCUUCAACUGCUGUCACAGUCUUUCUGAUCACUGGGUUAAGGUAAGUCUUUUCUUGGGAGCAAAUUAAAAUGUCGUCCAUAUAAUGCCGAAAUAUAGCUUCAGGGAAGGCUUUCCUGAUUGGAGAUAGAAUCCCAGCCACAAACAUUUGACAUAAAACAGGGGAAGUUUUCAUUCCCUGUGGCAAUGUGACCUAAUGAUAUCUUUUAAAGGGUUCUUGACAGUUGAUUGGUAUCGAAAAUGCGAAUUUGGGAGUGCGGGACAGAGAGGGAUGUUGAAUAAACAGUCUUUGAUAUCAAGGAUUGUGAGCUGCCAGUCCCUGGGAAGUACAGAAGGUGAGGGGAGCCCUGGUUGCAAGGAGCCCAUGUCUUCUAAAACAUAAUUUACUUUCCAAAAGUCUUGUAAUAACCUCCAUCUGUCUUUGCCAGGUUUUUUAUAAAAAGACAUGGGUCAGGAGCUAGUUGAUGGUACAAUGUGUCCUUUUAAUAAUUGUUCCUGUACUGGGGCAUGGAGCACUUCUAAUUUGUCAUUUGGAAGGCCCAAUGAUCCACCCACACAGGAUCAUACCCACAGGGAGGGAUCAUACCUUUUCCCACAGAUGGACAACAGCCAUAUUGAGUGGUUUAGUUUUCAUUUCUUUUUAAUUCCCAAAGUUUCAUUUUUUUCAACAUUGUAAUACAGCAUCUCUAUUCAAAUCAUUAUACUCACCUUGGUUAAUUAAAUAUUUAUUAAUUUAUUUUGCCCCCAUAAUAUCAGACAAAAGCAUAGGACAAAAGCAUAGGAAGAACAACAAGCAAUUACAGAAAUACAGUAUCUUCCCUGAAAAUCCCUUGGAAACCAUGUUAAAACAAUGGGAAGAACAUCAACUUACUAAAGAUAAAGACCCACAGCUCAAGAUUGUGCAUUGCAUGUUAGAAUGGCCAAAGAAGAAAUUAAAACAAGGUCUUCGCUGGCUGAAGCAUGGGUCUACCAGGAUGUGGAUUUGCGAAGUACUUUACAAUUACGCCCAAAAUAAAUUAAAUGCAGACUGGAAUUGCAGUAUGUGGAGGUCUGGUUUAAAUAUUGGAACAGCGAAAAGGAAGUAGAAACAGAUAAACCAAAUUCUCUCUGUAAUGAUCAAUGAUAAAGACACAACGAGGAAAACCAAUCAACCAAGGUGGGACUCAUUAAAUUUCCUCCCCCCUACUGCACCUCCCAACGAACCAGCUGCAACUGCAGCUGAGUCAUUGGAGGCUUCAAUGAGUCAUGUAACUGAGAGGGCUGAAGAAAUUGAAAGUAGCAGUGGGACAUCAGAAGAAACGUAUAUUCUAUCAUUCUCCUCCAGGCAAAUUACAAAUUCAGCCAUGCAGGAAGUUCCAUCCAAUCAAGAAGGUCCAGCCUUCUUCACUUGAAGGAGAACCCUGGUAGUACAAAAGUGUUCCUCCUGCUCCAGCAGUAAAGAUAAAACAAAGGUGGCAUCCCUCAGAGAGGUCCCAAUGGAGGGUGCACAAGGUGGAAUAGGAUAUGUAAAUGCACCCCUCACCUCUUCAGAAGUGAGGCAUUUUAAAAAGGAAAUGGAGAUAUUAUUCAGUGACCCAGUAGGUAUGUCAGAAAAAGUUUACCAGUUCUUAGGCUCUAGGAUUUACCCUAGGGGAAAAUGAAAUUCAAUAAUGCAAACCCUUUUCUCUCCAGAGAAGAGAAAAGUUAUUUAGACUGCAGGGAUCAAUAUAUUGGACAGAGAACAUAAUUUAGGAACAACUGGAGAGAAGAAAUUACCAUUAACAGAUCCAGAAUGGAACCCUAACUCAGAUGAGGGAAGAAAAAGUAUAGCAGAAUACAGAACCCGAAUUGUAAGGGGAAUAAAAGAGGCAGUCCCCAGAGUUAAUAACAUGAAGAAAGCCUUUGGUAGCAAACAAUAAAAACAUGAGAGCCCAACUGACUGUAUAACUCGCUUAAAUAAUAACAUCCAAUUAUAUUUAGAAAGAGAUUUAGGUAGUGAAGGAGGAAAGACAAUGUUCUAGGUCCACUUUGGGUUACAUUCUUGGCCUGACAUAAAACAGAAAUUAGAGAAAUUAGAUGGAUGGCCAGAAAGAAGUUUAGAUGAGUUAUUAGCUGAAGCACAGUAAGUUUAUGCCAGGUGAAAUGAAGAGAAAAUGAAGACUAAAGCUAAGAUGAUGGCUGCUGUCCAAAUUCCUAAACCAAUUAGGCAGGAUGGGGAGAAUAUUCAAUUGAAGAAACCUAUUUGCUUUUAUUGUAAGAAAGAAGACCAUAUGCAAUCCUGCUGUUUUAAGACAUUGAGGGACUUAAGAGAUUCUCCAAGUGGAGAAUCAACCCUCAGAGAACUGAGGGGGUCAGGGGCUCUUCUUCUUGGGGCACAAAAACCAUCUUCAAGAGCCCUUGAUAAAAUCAAGGAUAGGACCCCUAGAACAAUUAAUGGAAUUUUUAGUAGACACAGGAGCAGAGACAACUUGUUUAACUGAAAAACCAAAUGCAUGUGCCAUAAGCAAAGACACUUUCAAUAUUUGUGCUGCUAAAGGGGAAUCCUUCCCCAUUCCCAUCAUUAAGAAUGUCACUAUAAAGGGUAAUGGACUAACCAGAAAGGGAGAUUUGUUUUUCUACCUCCAGCAGGUAACAACUUACUUGGCCAGGAUCUCCAGAUACCUUUGAAAGUUGGAGUAGUUCCACAAGAAGGAAGGAUGAAGGUCAUUUUGUUUACUUUAUCCACACAAGAUGAAAACUGAUUAAUCCUACAGUGUAAGCCCAACCAGAUUCUCCUUCUAGACACCUGUUUGCUUCCACCUGGGAAGAUCCAGACACUGGAAGGAAACAGCAGCUCACCUGGACCUGGUGACUGCAAGGGUACAUGGAGUCUCCCACACUCUUCGGUCAAGCCUUGGAGAGCCUGUUCAUUCCCUUUUCUCCACCCUCAGGAAUACAAGUAACACAGUAUGUAGAUGACAUACUACUCUCCAGAGAGCAAGAAUCCACUGUAAAAUUAGGCACCAUUCAGUUACUGAACCUUCUAGGAGAGAAUGGACUAAUAGUAUCUAAAUCCAAAUUACAAUUUGUUAAACCAAAGUAAAAUAUUUCGGACAUGUAAUUGGUCAUGGUACCAGAAAAUUGAGUACUGAAAGGAUAGAAGGGAUUUUAAAUUUACAACCUCCCCAAACAAAGAGCGAGGUUAGACAAUUAUUAGGCUUAAUGAGGUACUGUAGAAUAUGGAUUGAUGAAUACACACAAAGUGUCACAAUUUUAUAUGAAAAAUUAACUACAUCAGAACCUAUUAAUUGGACCCAAGAGGAUAAUAAAAACUUAGAAAAUUUAAAGCAAAAGAUGAUUCAGACCCCAGUUCUCUUUCUUCCUUCACUAGAAGAAGAUUUUCACCACUAUAUUAACAUAGAGAAAGGAAUUCCUUAUGAGGUCUUGGCCCAAGAGUGGUCAGGAAUCCAUAAACCUGUAGCCUACUUGUCCAUAUUGUUGGUCCCUGUGUCCCAAGGAUGGCAAACAUGCAUCCAACCAAUCACUGCAGCAGCCAUCCUAGUAACAGCCAGCCAAAAACUUACAUUUGAGAGAAAUCUGACAGAAUACAUACCACACUCCACCCAAACCAUUCUUAAACAACGAGCAGCCGAAUGGCUAACAGACUCUCAUAUUAUACAAUAUGGGAGCACCCUCAUCCAUUCCACAACUGUAACCCUGAAAACAACCACCCACACCAAUCCUGCACAGUUCCUAUGUGGAAUUCCCCAAAAACAAGAUCUCGUGCACAACUGCAGAGUUUUUAUAAACCUGCAAACAAAAAUUCAAGAAGACCUCCUAGAGAGCCCAUUAGAUGAAGGAGAAAUCCUGUUCAUCGACGGAUCAUCUAGAGUAGUAAAUGGAAAGAGGUGCUCUGGAUACUCCAUCAGAGAUGGAAAAGAACUGUACAGGUUAGAAAAGGAAAACUACCACCUUCCUGGUCUACCCAGGUAUGUGAAUUAGAUGCUUUGGAAAAAGCAUUGCACAGACUAGACAGAGCUAUUGGAACCAUUUAUACGGACUCUAAAUAUGCAUAUGGAGUAGUCCACACGUUUGGGAAAAGCUGGGCUGAAAGAGGGUUUCCCACAUCUAAGGCCAAAGACAUUUUACACAAAGAACUUAUAUUAAAAAUUUUAGAGGCACUUAAGUUACCGAAAGAAAUUGCAAUGGUACGUGUUCCAGGUCAUCAAAAGGGAACUCUGGAGAAACCAGAGGAAACAUCCUAGCAGACCAUGCUGCAAAGGAGGCUGCUUUUGAGGGGGAAUUAAAGGAGAAACAACAUGAAUAGAACCAAGGCCAGUUCCAGGUAGGACUUUCCUGCAUUUAGGUCCCUUCCUGCAUCCAGGUACACUCCCAUGAAAACCAAGGGGUCUGAACCCAGUAGGAAAACCAGAGAGGUUGAAUGGUCUGCACCACCUAUCAAAGAGUACCACAGCACUUCAAUCUUCCCAUUGACCCCUGAGCGAGGGAAGGGAAGGUGCGCCCUACUCCUCAUACUCUCCCUCUGGAUCCUGUAGAUCCCCCUUGUCAGAGCCUGCAUCUGCUGCCACCAAUGCUAACAUACAGUGUACCUGACCAAAGGAAACUCCUACCUCAUAAAACACUCAUUCCAGGCACAUUCUUAUGUAAAUCCCUUUUGUUAUAAUAUGAUGACACUGAGUAGAUACUGACAAUCGGACAAAAACCAAUGGAUUGGUAGAAAUAUUGGAAAUGCAAACCAGAAAAGGAAUGGAGAGUGUCCUGAUCAAGAGAUUUGGCUAUAUGUCAAAUUUAAUUAUAUAACGAAAAAGAAGGAUUUGUUAAAAAGGAAAACUUAUGAUGUUGAUUUGAUUCGAGAAAUUGUAAUAACUGAAAGGGGGAAACAAAAGGGGGACAAUCCAUUAGCUACCGAUAAAAACUUAUUUACUGUUUUAGCAGAACAAAUUAGUAAAAAUCAAAAUAUAACCAAUUGUUGGGUUUGUGGAGGCACCUUCAAAUCAGAAGCCUGGCCUCAGCAAGGAGUCAGUAUUGGACCCCUCAAAUGACUUAAACUAAAUUAUUUCCCCUCCCAAACUCCAAGAGAUCAAGACAAUUGGCUAUUGAGGGACACAGUUCUUGGAGAAGAAUAUAUCUGGAGAAAAGGAAAAAGAUACACUGAGGAAGUUGGAGAAACUACCUGUAAAAGAUAUUUACUAACUGAGGAUCACAAGACGUGGUGGAUACUGAACGAACCAGAUACCUUUUGGUCAAAGAAGAAAAUCAGAAACAAGAACUGCAUAUUACAUCCCAAUGAACAACUUUAUCAGUGCUGGGACCCUAAAAGUCAGCCUUUAUUCAGUAUUACCCCAAGUUUCUAAGUAUUGGACCUCCACUUUUAUCACGCUUUCACAUUUUUGGGAGGCCCCCCAAGGUUUAUACUGGAAUUGUGGGCAAAGAGCAUAUUCUAAACUCCCUUCUCACUGGUGUGGCAAUUGUACCUUAGGAGCAAUACGACCUAGCCCCUUUCUACUAUCAGAAGCAGCUGGAAACCAGCUCGGAGUUCCCCUAGAUGAUAAAUUAAAGAGACAAAAAAGAUGUGAAAUAGGGGGAAUGUAACAAUGGGGUGAGGAAGAGUGGCCACCAGAGAGAAUUUUAGAAACUUACGGACCUGCCACUUGGGCUCAGGAUGGGAGCUGGGGCUAUCAAACUCCCAUUUACAUGCUAAAUCACAUUACUGGACUACAAGCCCUGAUUCACGUCAUAUCUAAUCAGGCCAAGAGUGCAAUUGAUUUUUUCAACGCCCAACAGAAGCAAAUGAAAACAGCUGUAUAUCAAAACUCUUUAGCCCUAGAUUAUUUAUUAGCCAAAGAGCGUGGAAUAUGCGGCAAUUUCAACACAUCAGACUAUUGUCUGCAUAUUGAUGACCAUGGUGAAACUAUUACUAAAAUUACCCAAAACAUCAGAAAGCUUACACAUGUUCCAGUCCAGUUUUCACCUGAUUAGUGGAAAAAUAUGUUCUCUAGGGAGUGGUAGAAGAAAGCCUUAAUUAUUUUUCGAGUUUCCUUAGUUAGCCUUCUCUUUCUCCCAUGCUUAAUCCCAUGUUUCAUUCAUCUAAUUACCUCAGUAGUACAAAGCAUGUUCGCUAGUCAAAAUCUUCAAACGAGCCAACAUUCUAUGCCUACUGUCAAGAAAAUCAUAAAUCUCAAUCCAAUCAAAACAGAUAGGAAAACGGGUAAAAAGGCCCAGCAAGUUUAGAUUAAUUUUAAACAAUUAAACACUAUCAACAAAGAACUUUUACAUUUAUGUAAAUGCAAAAGCCAAUUACUAACAUAAGAGAAAGAGGGAGGAACUGUCAUUUAUAAAAUCCCUUACAUGGCUUUUGCAUUUGUGACUGGUUUAUAUUUGUAACUGUUAAUUAGCUUUUGCAUUUAUAACUGUUUAAAGUUACUAGUUUGAUCAAGUAAAAGUGUUCAAAUUAAUGAAGUAAAUAAUAUAAAAUCAUUAUCAAGUUAUACUAGCUAUUCAGUAGAUCCCAACUGAAUGUUUAACAGUCCUGUUAAAAUAGGUAGCAAAAUAAGAACUAUAUUAUUUUUAUAAUCCUUUGUUCUUAACCUAAUUACAUUAUUUGUAAAUUUAAUUAUCUCUUUUUAGUAGCCUUAUACUUUCAAAGUUCCCAGUGCAGUUUCCUCUCACUAACAGCAUGCAGCAUUUUACAGACAAUUUCUAGCCCACUCCAGGUUGAACUGGUAACUUGAUGCCAUAGCAAUGGUGCAUACUAAUGAGAGAGCUUCCCAUCAAAAACCUCAGAGAUAUCAUCCCACCCCAGUGACAGCACACUCUGGGAAAGAAGAUCUUACCCCAUCAUCUACUAGCACCAAUCACCUGAGACUAUGGGGGCAGGACUGCAAGUACAGACUGAGGGGACCGAGAACAUCAAAGGGGCAGCCUGGCCUGAAGAGCUGUCUUUGCUGUCUUUUACUGUUCCUGGGACUGUGACUUAGCUACAGCAGGGGACCCCACACUGCAGAUUUCAGUCAAUAUCUCUUUUUAGAGACCUUAUUCCAGAUUUGAGGGCAGACUAAGUGCAUUCACUGCAAUGCCCUCGGGUUCUUGCCUUGGGGCCAGACGCCAGUUCAGCUAGAGGUUUCCUCAAUCCUUGGGCCUGGGACUUUAUCCUUUUUUCUUUCUUUCCUUUCUUCUUUUUCCUUACCUCCCUUUUUGUUUUUCCCCUUUAAAUAAACACCCUAUUUUUGUUCAAAUCGCCAAA